rnacentral:rRNA from 1 species
GGGUAGUUUGACUGGGGCGGUCUCCUCCUAAAGAGUAACGGAGGAGCACGAAGGUUGGCUAAGCAUGGUCGGACAUCAUGCGGUUAGUGCAAAGGCAUAAGCCAGCUUGACUGCGAGAGUGACGGCUCGAGCAGGUACGAAAGUAGGUCUUAGUGAUCCGGUGGUUCUGAAUGGAAGGGCCAUCGCUCAACGGAUAAAAGGUACUCCGGGGAUAACAGGCUGAUACCGCCCAAGAGUUCAUAUCGACGGCGGUGUUUGGCACCUCGAUGUCGGCUCAUCACAUCCUGGGGCUGAAGUAGGUCCCAAGGGUAUGGCUGUUCGCCAUUUAAAGUGGUACGCGAGCUGGGUUUAGAACGUCGUGAGACAGUUCGGUCCCUAUCUGCCGUGGGCGUUGGAAGAUUGAGAGGGGUUGCUCCUAGUACGAGAGGACCGGAGUGAACGCACCACUGGUGUUCGGGUUGUCAUGCCAAUGGCAUUGCCCGGUAGCUAAGUGCGGAAGAGAUAACCGCUGAAAGCAUCUAAGCGGGAAACUUGCCUCGA